rnacentral:antisense_RNA from 17 species
AGUUAUGGUGGGCUGGGCGGGGGCAUCGAAAGAUGCGCCGGUUUCCUUGAUCACCGGUUACGCCAACCCCGUUCAGUUCACCACCAGC